GACGAACGCUGGCGGCGUGCUUAACACAUGCAAGUCGAACGGGCCUUGUCCCCUUUUUUUUUGGGGGUGGGGUUAGUGGCGAACGGGUGAGUAACACGUGAGUAACCUGCCCCUCACUUCUGGAUAACCGCUUGAAAGGGUGGCUAAUACGGGGUGUUCUGGCCUGCUCGCAUGGGUGGGUUUGGAAAGAUUCGACCGGUUUUGGUUGUUUUGGUGGGGGAUGGGCUCGCGGCCUAUCAGCUUGUUGGUGGGGUGAUGGCCUGCCAAGGCUUUGACGGGUAGCCGGCCUGAGAGGGUGGGCGGUCACGCUGGGACUGAGACACGGCCCAGACUCCUACGGGAGGCAGCAGUGGGGAAUAUUGCACAAUGGGCGCAAGCCUGAUGCAGCGACGCCGCGUGAGGGAUGGAGGCCUUCGGGUUGUGAACCUCUUUCGCCAGUGAAGAAGGUCCUGCUCUUUGUGGUGGGGUUGACGGUAGCUGGGUUAAUGAAGCGCCGGCUAACUACGUG
rnacentral:rRNA from 1 species